CACGUAGGGGGCGAGCGUUGUCCGGAAUUAUUGGGCGUAAAGAGCGCGCAGGUGGUUGAUUAAGUCUGAUGUGAAAGCCCACGGCUUAACCGUGGAGGGUCAUUGGAAACUGGUCGACUUGAGUGCAGAAGAGGGAAGUGGAAUUCCAUGUGUAGCGGUGAAAUGCGUAGAGAUAUGGAGGAACACCAGUGGCGAAGGCGGCUUCCUGGUCUGUAACUGACACUGAGGCGCGAAAGCGUGGGGAGCAAACAGGAUUAGAUACCCU
rnacentral:rRNA from 1 species